rnacentral:lncRNA from 1 species
AGCUGUGUGUCGUGAGUGAUGAAAAAGUGAAAGUUUAUGUAAUACUCUCAUCCAGCAGCCGUGUGUCUCGUCUGACGAAGUGAAAUUCUUUUCUCUAUUUUCUAUUAACUUGUCUAAACAGAUAUGGACAUCUUAAACUAUUGUGUGCUAGUUCACAGAAAGCUAACGGUGCGGAAUGUUGUCUCGAUUUUUGUGAUGUCAAUUAAUACACACGUCAUCCAAUAUGUAUAGAACAUCGGUUGUUGCUGGAUACCAAUCAGCCAUGUUUCCUUUGGGCAGUAACAGAAACUUUAAUUAAAGAACAUUUUCUACGUCAAUCCUAGAACUCCAUCAAACGUCAGAAAUCAGAAAGGAGUUCAAAUGACGCCCUAAAACAUUUCCAAAUUCAAAUUGCCUAUACGUGGGACAUGACGAAAAUUAUAAUUCGACAGUAUAUAGGGUAGCGGAUUUCAAACGGGGGCAGUGUCACGCUGAAUAUACAUGUGGUAUUCAUCACGCCGUGCGGUUGCGGACUUUGCUCGGUCAACCAGGAAAACAAGGCAAUGUUGUUUCGACAAAAGUAAGGCAAGUUGGCUGCUUUCUAAUAUUUCCUUUUAUCGUAUAUAGAGACAUAAGUUAACACGGAUCUCACAAGCUGGCCUACAAAUCGUUGGUUAGGAAUUCAUUUCCACGAUGUCUUCAAUUAACCCCAUAGUUCGUGAUAUCGCCGCAUCUAACCCCGUUGUGUGAAUCAAGAGGAUUUCUCUUGAUUACAGUGAAAGUGAAGCAUCCAUAUUUUAAUGGGAAAACACCUGAGUACUCUGCAUGCUAUCGACAUCUCACGCUAGAAAAAAAAAGCCAACUUUCUAAUUUCUGAUUGUUGUACGUGUAUACAGUAUAUCUUUAUUGCCUAGUGUUUACGUAAUCUUAGAUUUCUCGUGGGAAAAAACUCCGUGAGUCAAAUACAAGAGGCUCAGCCCUGUUGAUGAUCGGCCGAUUCUUCUUAAGAUAAGACCACGUACUUUGUUGCGAAAGAAAUAAAACACCAUUCGUAUUAUUAUUAUGAUUUAUUUACACCUUGUACGAAAUCACGGCGGUAGCCAAUAUUCAAAUAGAGGUUGCAACCAAGACUUCUUAAAGUGAAUUGGGAAUGAAAUAUGAGUCAAAGAGGUAAUAAAACUUUUGAAUAA